AGAACAGAGGUUGUGGCAGUUUCAGCAUCAAAUACCUGUUAAAGAAGAAAAGAUAGUUGAACUGGAAACAGAAAAUGCUGUUCUGUCCCUGAGAUUGGCAGAGAUAAUGAAGUAAUGCUUUGCUCUGACCAAUGAGCCACAGGAAUGGCUCUAGAUGUGGUCAUCGUAUACUACCCUGAAAGAACCGCCAGAGUUCCAGGACGGCCACCUUUCACUUAAGCAAACUUGUCCACAGACUGUGUGGGUCCCAUCAGCUGAGAGUAGCCUUCACAUUGCAGUGAUGUGCAUAUUUCUGCUUUUCAGCCACGAUGGACUUUAGGAUCUUCCCUGAGGACCCUACACGAACCACAGGUGACCUGGAUGCAGAAGUCCUACCUGUAGCUGCCAUCCAGGGCAUAAGUCCCUCAGUGAGUGAAUUCCAGAUGGUUCUGUCUAAAGCAGCAUCGAGCAGGGUGGUGGGAUAGAAUGACAGUUGUGAGCAGUUCCCAUUGGCAUCAACUGUACCACAGACCCAGUCUCAGUGUGACACAGAAGACGACUACCUGGAAAGUUCAUCCACAGAGCACGUAAUUCUGAUUGGUGCAACAGUCUGGAAGAGUGAAAGAUAUCAUCUCCCAAGGGCAAGUGCUGUGCUAGUGGACACUGAGGAGCUGCAGGGAUCAGACCCCUCCCCAUCCUUCUCCAGCCUCUCUUGUUCUUUCUUGAGAUGUUUCCUGCAGACCUGAAAGAUCCAUGCAGUCCAUGACAUGGGUUUCAAUUUAAUCUCAGGACAUUUUAUUCAUUGCCCAAAAACUAAGACCAGAUAAAAUUUAUUCAUUCAUUCA